UACGUAGGGUCCGAGCGUUGUCCGGAUUUAUUGGGCGUAAAGAGCGUGUAGGCGGCCAGGUAGGUCUGCUGUGAAAACUCGAGGCUCAACCUCGAGACGCCGAUGGAAACCAUCUGACUAGAGUCCGGAAGAGGAGAGUGGAAUUCCUGGUGUAGCGGUGAAAUGCGCAGAUAUCAGGAAGAACACCCGUGGCUAAGGCGGCUCUCUAGUACGGUACUGACGCUGAGACGCGAAAGCGUGGGGAGCGAACAGG
rnacentral:rRNA from 1 species